rnacentral:sRNA from 1 species
UGUUACGUCAGCCACAAUGAAACGCCAU